rnacentral:lncRNA from 1 species
UCAGGACUGGGACUGAGACAAGCUCAGCGGGGCUGGCGCUAACAGUGAUGAUCCCAAACCACUCUUCAAUAUCAUUCUCAGGAAACAACAUCUACAGGGCAGAAGUUAGCUUUUCAAGUGACUUCAUAAUCAACAUCUAACAGCCAUUACCAUCAAACCAUGUCAUCAAAGGCCUGGAGAACCAUCAGGUCUGGUACCAACCAUUCACAGCAUCUGCUGGUCUGCACUUGGGCUGUGAUCCACAGCAGCUGCAGGCAGCUUGACUGUGAAGGAUGCAUUGGUGGCAGCUCACUUAAUGAUUUGACAACUAGUACUGCUGGUGCCCCAAGCCAAUUUGCCAUUAAAC